CCUACGGGUGGCAGCAGUGGGGAAUAUUGGACAAUGGGCGAAAGCCUGAUCCAGCCAUGCCGCGUGUGUGAAGAAGGCCUUCGGGUUGUAAAGCACUUUCAGUGGGGAAGAAAGCCUUGGGGCUAAUACCCUCGAGGAAGGACAUCACCCACAGAAGAAGCACCGGCUAACUCCGUGCCAGCAGCCGCGGUAAUACGGAGGGUGCGAGCGUUAAUCGGAAUUACUGGGCGUAAAGCGCGCGUAGGCGGUCUGAUAAGCCGGUUGUGAAAGCCCCGGGCUCAACCUGGGAACGGCAUCCGGAACUGUCAGGCUAGAGUGCAGGAGAGGAAGGUAGAAUUCCCGGUGUAGCGGUGAAAUGCGUAGAGAUCGAGAGGAAUACCAGUGGCGAAGGCGGCCUUCUGGACUGACACUGACGCUGAGGUGCGAAAGCGUGGGUAGCAAACAGGAUUAGAUACCCGUGUAGUC
rnacentral:rRNA from 1 species